GCAGAAGUCCGGGGCUGGCAAGCGCUUCCUGCGCAGCGCCUAGGCGACCUGGAGUUUGUGACGCUGUGAUGGUCUAGAGGCUGGAGAUUCAAGAUCUGGGUGCCAUCAUUUUCUGGUUCUGUUGAUGACCCUCUUCCAGGAGGAUCUAGAUCCGGAUAGUACUACAGAUGUGGGAGAUGUUACAAAUACUGAAGAAGAACUUAUUAGAGAAUGUGAAGAAAUGUGGAAAGAUAUGGAAGAAUGUCAGAAUAAAUUAUCACUUAUUGGAACUGAAACACUCACCGAUUCAAAUGCUCAGCUAUCAUUGUUAAUUAUGCAAGUAAAAUGUUUAACCGCUGAACUCAGUCAAUGGCAGAAAAAAACACCUGAAACAAUUCCCUUGACUGAAGACGUUCUCAUAACAUUAGGAAAAGAAGAGUUCCAAAAGCUGAGACAAGAUCUUGAAAUGGUACUGUCCACUAAGGAGUCAAAGAAUGAAAAGUUAAAGGAAGACUUAGAAAGGGAACAACGGUGGUUGGAUGAACAGCAACAGAUAAUGGAAUCUCUUAAUGUACUACACAGUGAAUUGAAAAAUAAGGUUGAAACAUUUUCUGAAUCAAGAAUCUUUAAUGAACUGAAAACUAAAAUGCUUAAUAUAAAAGAAUAUAAGGAGAAACUCUUGAGUACCUUGGGCGAGUUUCUAGAAGACCAUUUUCCUCUGCCUGAUAGAAGUGUUAAAAAGAAAAAGAAAAACAUUCAAGAAUCAUCUGUAAACCUGAUAACACUGCAUGAAAUGUUAGAGGGAAAUAUAGUACCUUUAUAGUGGAGAAACCCAGCAGACACCACCUUAAUCACGUGGUCAAGGUUAAUAUCACAGAAAAAGAAGACAUCUUUAGACAGAGUUAGAAGGCAACCCACAGAGUGGGAGAAAGUAUGGUAACUAUCCAACAAAGAAUUCACAUCUCAAAUACAUAAAGAGCUCUCCUAAAAUCAACAAUUAGAAGACAUUCAUCCUAAUUUAAAAUUAUAGGCCGGACAUAAUGGCUCACGCCUGCAGAACAGCACUCUGGGAGGCCGAGGCAGGCGGAUCACUUGAGGUCAGGAUUUCGAGACUUGCCUGGCCAACAUGGCAAAACCCCGUCUCUACUAAAAAUACAAAAAUUAGCUGGGCAUGGUGGUGUGUGCCUGUAAUCCCAGCUACUCGGGAGGCUGAGGCAGAAUCGCUUAAACCCAGGAGGCAGAUUUUGCAGUGAGCUGAGAUCGAGACACUGCAUCCAGCCUAGGAGACAGAGUGAGACUCUGUCUCAAAAAAAAAAAAAAAAAAUAUUACAUUGGUGGGCAGGCACGGUGGCUCACACCUGUAAUCCCAGCACUUUGGGAGGCUGAGACAGAUGGAUCAAUUGAGGUCAGGAGUUUGAGACCAACCUGGCCAAUGUGGUGAAACCCUGUCUCUACUAAAAAUACAAAAAUUAGCCAGGCAUGGUGCCUGUAGUUCCAGCUACUCGGGAGGCUGAAUCAGGAGAAUCACUUGAACCUGGGAGGUGGAGGUUGCCGUGAGCCGAGCUUGCACCACUGCACUCCAGCCUGGGUGACAGAGCAAGACUGUCUCAAAAAAUAAUAAAUAAAUAAAUAAAUAAAAUUUAAAAAUUUAUAUUGGUUAGAAGACUUAAGAACCCAGGCACAGUAGGUGACGCCUGUAAUCCCAGUGAUGUGGGAGGAUUGUUAGAGCCCAAUAGUUUGAGGCUGCAGUGAUCUCACCACUGCACUCUAGCCUCUAGCCUGGGUGACAGAGUGAGACCCUAUUUCUUAAAAAAACAAACCAAACAAACAAAAAAAGACUCUUCAUGUUAGAGAAUAAAUAUCCUGAAAAUGUUUUAAAUAUCUCUUCAUAUUAGAGAAUAAAUAUUUUGAAAAUGUUUUAAAGGAAAGAGAGGACUUCUAGUUUCAGACUAAGAUGGAGUAGACACACUCCUCUCUAUUCCUCCUGUUAAUUGUAGCUUAAAACUUUGCACAUUAUAUGUAAUAUACAUGUUAGGAAAUAUCUGAAAAGUGGAGCGAAGGCAGCAGACUGCCUAGGGACUUUGGGACACAAAGAGGGACACAGCAGUUUUCUUUUUGCCUUAUACGUACCAGACUGGAUGCUAGAGAAGAUCAUAACCUUGAAAACACCAAUGGAAGAUAAAAGUUUCCCAAAACUUUGCUCUAUCAAAAGGAUGAGGAAAGAGGCAACACAGUAAGACAGAAAACUUUUCAACUAUAACCACCCUACUGCAGCUAAACACCAUGGAAAAAAUACCACCCUACCACCACCCCUGUCCAAAAAGGCCAAAAGUAGUGGACCUCAGCUUCCACCCUUGUUGAGCUAUAACAUGGUGUCCUGCCCCUGGGGUGAUCAGAGAAGACUGAGUUGGGAGUCAGGACUUUCCUCCCUGCCAGCAGUAAGAAGGCCAUGUGGUGGUUCUGAACUUACAUACCCACCCAGUAGUAAAGAGGCAACCCUGUUCAUUAGAGGAAGCCAUGUCAGAACUUUCACCACCAUCCAGAGGUAAGGAGGCUUCCUACUCUUGACUAUAGAAUCAGUGGAGGCCACCUGGCAAUCAGUAACAAGGUGCUCCUUCCUUUCCUAGCCAGACUGAUGUCAAUGGAGGCCUUUGAAGAGGCUGAAUUUCCACAGCUGCCCAGAUGUCACAAAGCACUUCUGUUUCCCUACCCUGGGUGUCAAAAAGCCUGAGCAGAGAACGUGGACUUUCACCACUACCUGGUAGUGAUGAGACUGUGCCCCAUUUCCCCUCCACCAGAAUUGUGUCAAAGGUGGCCUGCUAAAACAAGAUUUGAGUAAGAUCUAGAGUGUUAUAAUAACCAAAAUGUCCAGGGUACAAUACAUGCCCGAAGAACUAGGAAAAUCUGAACUUUAAUGAAAAAAGACAACAUACAGCAACAUCAAGAUAAAACAGAGGGCCAGGAGCAGUGGCUCCUGCCUAUAAUCCCAGCAUCUUGGGAGGCCAAGGUAGGUGGAUCAUAUGAGGUCAGGAGUUCGGGACCAGCCUGGCCAACAUGGUGAAACCCCAUCUCUAUUAAAAAUACAAAAACUAGCUGGGCGUGGUGGUGGGUGCCUGUAAUCCCAGCUACUAGGGAGGCAGAGGUAGGAGAAUCACUGGAACACGGGAGGUGGAUGUGGCAGUGAGCGAGAUUGCAUCAUUGCACUCCAGCUUGGAUGACAGAGCGAGACUCUGUCUCAAAAAAAAAAAAAAAAAAAAAAACAAACUUAGCAAUUGCAAACAUGCCUGAAACAAAUGAAAAUAGAAAGUCUCAGCAAAGAAAUAGAAGAUAUAAAGAAGAAUCAUAUUGAAAAGUUUAAAAUGAGAAGCACAAUAACCAGAUUCAAGAUUCAGUGAUGGGCUCAAUAGCAACAUGAAGAGGACAAGAGGAAAGAAUCAGCAAAGUUGCAGCUAGAACAAUAGAUAUGGCCAGGCACCAUGGUUCACGCCUGUAAUCCCAGCACUUUGGGAGGCUGAGGUGGGUGGAUCAUGAGGUCAAGAGAUCGAGAACAUCCUGGCCAACAUGGUGUAACCCCGUCUCUACUGAAAAUACAAAAAAUACAAAAAUUAGCUGGGCAUGGUGGUGUGUACCUGUAGUCCCAGCUACUGGGGAGGCUGAGGCAGGAGAAUUGCUUGAACCCAGGAGGCAGAAGUUGCAGCGAGCCAAGAUUGCGCCACUGCUCUCUAGCCUGGAGACAGAGUGGGAUUCCAUCUCAAACAAACAAACAAAAAACCGAAAAAACAAAGAACAAUAGAUAUUCCUUAAUCUGAUUAACAGAGACAAAAUAUGAUGAAAUCAAAUGAACAGAGCCUCAAAGACCUGUGACACUAUAUCCAGAAUCUACAAUGAACUCAAACAAAUUUACAAGAAAAAAACAAACAACCCCAUCAAAAAGUGGGCGAAGGACAUGAACAGACACUUCUCAAAAGAAGACAUUUAUGCAGCCAAAAAACACAUGAAGAAAUGCUCAUCAUCACUGGCCAUCAGAGAAAUGCAAAUCAAAACCACUAUGAGAUAUCAUCUCACACCAGUUAGAAUGGCAAUCAUUAAAAAGUCAGGAAACAACAGGGGCUGGAGAGGAUGUGGAGAAAUAGGAACACUUUUACACUGUUGGUGGGACUGUAAACUAGUUCAACCAUUGUGGAAGUCAGUGUGGCGAUUCCUCAGGGAUCUAGAACUAGAAAUACCAUUUGACCCAGCCAUCCCAUUACUGGGUAUAUACCCAAAGGACUAUAAAUCAUGCUGCUAUAAAGACACAUGCACAUGUAUGUUUAUUGCGGCACUAUUCACAAUAGCAAAGACUUGGAACCAACCCAAAUGUCCAACAAUGAUAGACUGGAUUAAGAAAAUGUGGCACAUAUACACCAUGGAAUACUAUGCAGCCAUAAAAAAUGAUGAGUUCAUGUCCUUUGUAGGGACAUGGAUGAAACUGGAAACCACCAUUCUCAGUAAACUAUCGCAAGAACAAAAAACCAAACACCGCAUAUUCUCACUCAUAGGUGGGAAUUGAACAAUGAGAUCACAUGGACACAGGAAGGGGAAUAUCACACUCUGGGGACUGUGGUGGGGUCGGGGGAGGGGGGAGGGAUAGCAUUGGGAGAUAUACCUAAUGCUAGAUGACACGUUAGUGGGUGCAGCGCACCAGCAUGGCACAUGUAUACAUAUGUAACUAACCUGCACAAUGUGCACAUGUACCCUAAAACUUAGAGUAUAAUAAAAAAAAAAAAAUUAAAAAAAAAAAAAAGAUCUAAUAUUUUUGUCAUCAAAGUCCCAGAAAGAGGAGAAAGUGGGUGGGUUUUAAAAUAGUGGCUGAAUAUUUCCCAAAUUUGGUAAAAAGCAUAAACCUACAGAUUCAAGAAGCUGAGAGAACCCCAGCUCAGGAAAGGAUAAACCUAAAGAAGUCUACACCAAGACACAUUGUAAGUAAACUGAAAAGAGAAGGCAAAAAGUCUUAAAAGCAUUGAGAGAGAAAGGAUACCUUACCUAUGGGGAAAAACAAUUGGGAGGACAGUAGAUUUUCAUCAAGCACCGAGGAGGCCAGAAGGAAGUGGCUUAAUGUUUUUCAAUUGCUCAACGAACUGUCAGCCCUGUCAGAUAUCAUAUAUCUGGUAAAAUUACCCCUUAGGAAUGAGGGGGAAAUAAAUACAUACUAGAUGAAGGAAAACUAAGAGAGUUUGUUGCUAGCAGACCUACCCUAAAAGAAGGCUAAAGAAAGUUCCUGGCUGGGUGCAGUGGCUCACGACUGUAAUCCCAACACUUUGGGAGACUGAGGCCUGCCAAGCUGAGGCCAGGUGGACAGCUUGAAGCCUGGAGUUCAAGAUAACCCUGGGCAAUAAAGGGAGGCCUCAUUCUCUAUUUAAAAAAAGAAAGUCCUGAAACAUAAAGGAAAUCAUCAAAGAAGGAAUCUUGGAAUAUUAGGAAAGAAGGACAACAGGAAAGAGCAAAAAUGUGACCAAAUACAAGACCGGGUAUGUUGACUCACACCCGUAAUCCCAACACUUAGGGAGGUUGAAGCCUGUUCUCAAGACCAGUCUGGGCAACAUGGCGAGACUCUGUCUCUACAAAAAAUAAAUUAGCCAGGCGUGGUGUCGUGUGCCUGUAGUCCUAGUUACUAAGGAGCCUAAGGCAGCAAGAUUGCCUGACCCAGGAAUUUGAGGUUAUUGUGAGCCAUGAUCAAUGCCACUGCACUCCACCCUGGGUGGAGUGAGACCCUGUCUCAAAAAAGAGACAGAAUCAGACCCUGUCUCUAAAAAAAAAAAAAGAAAAAAGAAAAAGAAAGAAAAAAAGAAAAGAAAGAAAAAAGAAAGAGAAGGAAGAUAUAUGACCAAAUACAAUAGUUUUCUUCUUGAAUUUUCUAAGUUAUGUGUCCAUGAUUGAAACAAAAUAUAUGAUUUGAUUCUCAGUGAUGUAGAGGAAAUAUUUAAGACGAUUGUAACUGGGGAAAGGUAAAGAGGUUUAAAGGAAGGUAGGAUUUUACUUCAUUCAAACUGAUAAAAUGUCAAUACCAGUAGACUAUGGUAAGUUACAUAAGUGUUAUGUAAAUGUAAUAAAUAAAGCAAUCACGUACAAAAAACAUAUAUAAAGAGAUAUGCCCUCAAUCCCUAGAUGUAUUCCUUGAAGGUUGGGAAUAUAUCUAUAUGUGUAUAUUGAUAUAUAUUUACAUAACAUUAGAGAGAUAUAUAAUAUAUAAAAAUGUUUCAGAAAUUAUUAAAGAUAUUUUAAAAGUAAAUUAUUUCUAGGCUAGGGUAGCAAAUGAUAAUGUAAGGAAAUUGUAGCCUAGUCUUAUGAACGUAGAUGCAAAAUCCAACAGAAAAUACUAGAAAAACAAUUCAUACCAAUUAUACAUACAGUAUAAGAAAUUUAUAAUGCUGAAAUUCAAUUUCUUCCUUCUUGGCAUUUUUGUUAUUGUCAGAUCUUUUAUUUUGACAGAUGUUACAAACUCCACACUAUAUUGUUUUUAUUCUAACUUAAAUAGACUUUUGAAUAUAUAUGUGUAUAUUUUAUUUAUUUAUUUAUUUGUUUGUUUGAAAUAGGGUCUUGCUCAGUUGCCCAGGCUGCAGUGCAAUGGCACAAUCAUAGCUCAUUGCAGCCUUGAACUCCUGGGCUUAAGUGAGCCUCCCACCUCACCCUCAAAAAGUGCUGGAAUUACAGGCGUGAGCCACUGUCCUGCCUUUUUAUUGGAACAUUUCGUUCAUUUAUAUUUACAGUAGACAGACUUCUAAAACCCUGUUCAAUAAUUUUCACCUCCUGGUAUCCCUGGCUUUGUGUUAUCCCCUUCCCAUUAGGUGUGGACCGGGGAACUUAUGACUUGUUUGUAAUGAAUCAAUAGAACAAAGGGACAUCACUUCUGAGACUAGGUUACAAAAGACUGUGACUCCUAUCUUGCUGUCAUUCUGUUGCUCUUUCUCCUUUGCUUACUUUGAUGAGGUCAACUGCCAUGUUGUGAUUGUCCAUAUUGUAGUUUCUUAUCACUAAGGGUGACUGCUUCUAACAGCCCGUGAGGAACUAAUUUUUUUCUUUUUUUUUUGAAAGGGAGUCCCACUUUGUCGCUUAGGCUGGAGUGCAGUGGGGGCAAUCUUGGCUCACUGCAACCUCCAUCUCCCGGGUUCAAGCGAUUCUCCUGCCUUAGCCACCCGAGUAGCUGGGAUUACAAGCAUGUGCCACCAUGCCCAGCUAAUUUUUGUAUUUUUAGUAGAAAUGGGGUUUCACCAUGUUUGCCAGGCUGGUCUUGAACUCCUGACCUCAGGUAGUCCGCCCGCCUCAGCCUCCCAAAGUGCUGGAAUUACAGGCGUCAGCCACUGCACUUGGCCACUAUUUUUAUUUUAUUUUUAUUUUUUGGAGACGGAGUCUCACUCUUGUCGCCCAGGCUGGAGUGCAGUGGCGUGAUCUUAGCUCACUGCAAUGCUCCGCCUCAUGGGUUCAAUCAAUUCUCUGCCUCAGCCUCCCGAGUACCUGGGAUUACAGGCACCCGCCACCACGCCUGGCUAAUUUUUUUGUAUUUUUUUUAGUAGAGAUGGGGUUUCACCAUCUUGGCCAGGCUGGUCUUGAACUCCUGACCUUGUGAUCUACCUACCUCGGCGUCCCAAAGUGCUGGGAUUACAGACGUGAGCCAUCGCACCCAGCCUUUUUAUUUUUAUAGUAAAAAUAUACUCAUAAAUACUUUGGAAAAAAAACAAACAGCAAAGUAUAAAGAUGAAAAUUAAAAACCCCACCACCCAGAGAUAACCACUUGUAACCUUUUUUUAUUACUUAACCUUGAUCCUAACUGUAUGACAUGUGCUAGAAAAUAUGAAAUUAUGAUCCUAAUUUUAUGAAGUAAAGUGUUUACGUAUGCAUUUUAUGUAUAUGCUUAUAAUGUUCUUUAUGAUUAUACUAUAUAAUGAGCUCUGCUUCUUUUACUCUUUGUUGUAUUUUUCUCAUAACUAGGUAAUAUUAGAAAAAACAUUUUUAAGGCUACUGGAUUAUUAACAAAGUAGGAGUACCAUCAUUUAUUUUAACAAUUUUUCUAUUAUUGGCUAUUGAGGUUGUUCCCAGUCUUUCACUCUUAGAAAUAGCACCGUGAUCAAUGUCUUUAUGUAAAUUCCUAGAAAUAGAGACACUAGGUCAAAGAGUAUAAGUGUUUUGUUUUGUUUUGUUUUGUUUGAGACAAGGUCUCUAUAGCCCAGGCUGGAAUGCAGUGGUAUAAUCAUGGCUCACUGCAACCUCAACCUCCCUGGCUCAAGUGAUCCUCCCACCUUAACCUCCUAAGUAGCUGGGACUACAGGUGUGCCCCACCAUGCCUGGUUAAUUUUUUGUGUUUUUUGUAGAGACGGGGUUUUGCCAUGUUGCCCAGACUGGUCUAAAACUUCUGGGCUCAAGCAAUCCACUCACCUUGGCCUCCCAGAGUGCUGGAAUUACAGGCAUGAGCCGCCUUGCCUGGCCACUAAGGCUCUUGAUUAAUAUUGCCAAAUGCCUUUCCAGAAAGGUUGAAGCAAUUUAUACCACCACCAGCAGUGUAUGAGAGUGCCCAUUUAAUGGAACCCUUGCCAACAAUGAGUAUUUUUUAAAAUUUUGUCUAUUUGAUUAUAAAAAUCUUGUUUUAAUUUAUAUUUAUUGGAUUAUAAGUGAGAUGGAACUUUUUUUCAUAGAUUACUGGCUGUUUGUAUUUCUUCUUUUGUGAAUUUUUUGUUUCCUUGAUCGUUAUUCUAGAACAGUGCUGAAUAGACACCUAAUGCAAACUGUGUAUGUAAUUUUAUAAUAAAUUUUCUUGUGGCCUCAUUAAACAAGUAAAAA